UACAGAGGAGCCCAGCGUUGUCCGGAUUGACUGGGCGUAAAGCGCACGCAGGCGGUCGCGCGCGGGGGUUGUGAAAUCUGGCCGCUUAACGGCCAGGCGCCAUCCCAUACGGCACGACUGGAGUGAUGCAGAGGUCGAUGGAAUUGCCGGUGUAGUGGUGAAAUGCGUAGAGAUCGGCAGGAACACCCAGGGGGAAACCAGUCGACUGGGCAUCUACUGACGCUGAGGUGCGAGAGCGUGGGGAGCGAACCGG
rnacentral:rRNA from 1 species